rnacentral:rRNA from 1 species
CAUGCAGUCGAACGAUGAAGCCCAGCUUGCUGGGUGGAUUAGUGGCGAACGGGUGAGUAACACGUGAGUAACCUGCCCUUAACUCUGGGAUAAGCCUGGGAAACUGGGUCUAAUACCGGAUAGGAGCGCCCACCGCAUGGUGGGUGUUGGAAAGAUUUAUCGGUUUUGGAUGGACUCGCGGCCUAUCAGCUUGUUGGUGAGGUAAUGGCUCACCAAGGCGACGACGGGUAGCCGGCCUGAGAGGGUGACCGGCCACACUGGGACUGAGACACGGCCCAGACUCCUACGGGAGGCAGCAGUGGGGAAUAUUGCACAAUGGGCGCAAGCCUGAUGCAGCGACGCCGCGUGAGGGAUGACGGCCUUCGGGUUGUAAACCUCUUUCAGUAGGGAAGAAGCGAAAGUGACGGUACCUGCAGAAGAAGCACCGGCUAACUACGUGCCAGCAGCCGCGGUAAUACGUAGGGUGCGAGCGUUAUCCGGAAUUAUUGGGCGUAAAGAGCUCGUAGGCGGUUUGUCGCGUCUGUCGUGAAAGUCCGGGGCUUAACCCCGGAUCUGCGGUGGGUACGGGCAGACUAGAGUGCAGUAGGGGAGACUGGAAUUCCUGGUGUAGCGGUGGAAUGCGCAGAUAUCAGGAGGAACACCGAUGGCGAAGGCAGGUCUCUGGGCUGUAACUGACGCUGAGGAGCGAAAGCAUGGGGAGCGAACAGGAUUAGAUACCCUGGUAGUCCAUGCCGUAAACGUUGGGCACUAGGUGUGGGGACCAUUCCACGGUUUCCGCGCCGCAGCUAACGCAUUAAGUGCCCCGCCUGGGGAGUACGGCCGCAAGGCUAAAACUCAAAGGAAUUGACGGGGGCCCGCACAAGCGGCGGAGCAUGCGGAUUAAUUCGAUGCAACGCGAAGAACCUUACCAAGGCUUGACAUGUUCUCGAUCGCCGUAGAGAUACGGUUUCCCCUUUGGGGCGGGUUCACAGGUGGUGCAUGGUUGUCGUCAGCUCGUGUCGUGAGAUGUUGGGUUAAGUCCCGCAACGAGCGCAACCNUCGUUCCAUGUUGCCAGCACGUAAUGGUGGGGGACUCAUGG